UACAGAGGGGGUAAGCGUUGUUCGGAAUUACUGGGCGUAAAGGGCGCGUAGGUGGCCUUCUAAGUUGAACGUGAAAUCCCUGGGCUCAACCCAGGAACUGCGUCCAAGACUGGGAGGCUUGAAUCCGGGAGAGGGAUGCGGAAUUCCAGGUGUAGCGGUGAAAUGCGUAGAUAUCAAGAGGAACACCUGAGGUGAAGACGGGUUGCUAGGCUGACACUGACGCUGAGGCGCGAAAGCUAGGGGAGCAAACGGG
rnacentral:rRNA from 1 species